AUCCAGCUGACUAGUCCCAAAUAGGACGAAACAAGCGGCCUGGAU
rnacentral:hammerhead_ribozyme from 1 species